rnacentral:tRNA from 1 species
UAGAGAGUAGUUUAAUGAAAGAUUUCGGCUUUGGGGGUCGAAGAUGGAGGUGAAAGUCCUCCCUGUCUAA